rnacentral:sRNA from 1 species
GCAGGGAGCAGACCUUCACUUGGCUCUGCUGACUCUAGCGCCAUGGCCCGGCACCUGCUCCUCCCCCUUGUGAUGCUUGUCAUCAGUCCCAUCCCAGGAGCCUUCCAGGACUCAGGUAAGGUAGCCGGACUGGGGGAAAGUCACGUGCAGAGGCAGAAAAGACCAGAGGACUGGCAUGGGUGCUGGCAGGGGUUGCUGAACGGACAGGGAAGUGGGAAGAUAGGGUCGGGGGUUGGAGAGCAGGAAGUGGGGCUGGGCGGUGCAGGCCUGGAAGUCACAAGUGUCCUCCUCUCUUUCCCCUCUGGCUCCCAGCUCUCAGUCCUGCCCAGGAAGAACCUGAAGAUCUGGGUAAGGAAGAGGCCUUGGCACCCUCAGACCUUAAAGGAGGCUAAGGCUGGUCAGGCCAUGAGGGAGGUGGAAAAGACCAGAAAUGUAGACAAGCCUGGGUCCUCUAUGUUCUUUGUUCAGAGGGGCAAACUGAAGCGGGUGGAGGACGGGCCUUCGUCCUGAGUUACCUGGGCUUCUGGAGUGGGGAACCC